CCCCGGCGCCACGAGUGGUCAUCGCGAUUAUUGGGCCUAAAGCGUUCGUAGCCGGUCUAGUGCAUCUCUUGUGAAAUUGUUCGGCUUAACCGGACAGCGUGCAGGAGACACGGCUAGACUCGAGACCGGGAGGCGUGCGAAGUAUGUCGUGGGGACUGGUAAAAUGGGAUAAUCCACGAUAGACUACCGAUGGCGAAGGCAUCGCACGAGAACGGAUCUGACGGUGAGGAACGAAAGCCAGGGGAGCGAACCGG
rnacentral:rRNA from 1 species